rnacentral:rRNA from 1 species
GACGAACGCUGGCGGCGUGCUUAACACAUGCAAGUCGAACGGAAAGGCCCUGCGUUUGUGGGGCGCUCGAGUGGCGAACGGGUGAGUAACACGUGAGUAACAUGCCCCUGACUGUGGGAUAACUUCUGGAAACUGGGGCUAAUACCGGAUAGGAGCUCCUGCUGCAUGUGGGUGGUUGGAAAGUUUCGGCGGUUUGGGAUGGACUCGCUGCUUAUGAGCUUGUUUGUGGGGUAGUGGCUUACCAAGGCUUUGACGGGUAGCCCGCCUGAGAGCGUGACCGGCCACCUGGCGCCUACGGGACGGCCCAGAAUGCUACGGGCGGCAGCAGUGGGAAAUAUGACACAAUGGGGGGACGCGUGAUGUAGCAGUGCUGCGAGCGGGAUGCCGGCCUACGGGGUGUAAACAGAUUUCGUAUGUGACGAAGCGUGCGUGACGGUACUGGGUAAAGAAGCACCGGCUAACUACGUG